GACGAACGCUGGCGGCGUGCCUAAUACAUGCAAGUAGAACGCACAGUUUAUACCGUAGCUUGCUACACCAUAGACUGUGAGUUGCGAACGGGUGAGUAACGCGUAGGUAACCUGCCUGGUAGCGGGGGAUAACUAUUGGAAACGAUAGCUAAUACCGCAUAAUAUUGAUUAUUGCAUGAUAAUUAAUUGAAAGGUGCAAUUGCACCACUACCAGAUGGACCUGCGUUGUAUUAGCUAGUAGGUGAGGUAACGGCUCACCUAGGCGACGAUACAUAGCCGAACGGAGAGGGUGAUCGGCCACACUGGGACUGAGACACGGCCCAGACUCCUACGGGAGGCAGCAGUAGGGAAUCUUCGGCAAUGGACGAAAGUCUGACCGAGCAACGCCGCGGGAGUGAAGAAGGUUUUCGGAUCGUAAAGCUCUGUUGUAAGAGAAGAACGGGUGUGAGAGUGGAAAGUUCACACUGUGACGGUAUCUUACCAGAAAGGGACGGCUAACUACGUG
rnacentral:rRNA from 1 species